rnacentral:rRNA from 1 species
CAAUAGCGUAUAUUAAAGUUGUUGCAGUUAAAAAGCUCGUAGUUGGAUUUCGGGGCAGCCUGGCUGGUCCGCCGCAAGGCGAGUACUGGUCAGCCGCCCUUCCUUUCGAAAGCCCCGACUGCUCUUCGUUGCAGUGGUCGGGUAGUUCGGGACGUUUACUUUGAAAAAAUUAGAGUGUUCAAGGCAGGCCUACGCCUGAAUACAUUAGCAUGGAAUAAUGGAAGAGGACCUCGGUCCUAUUUUGUUGGUUUCCAGGGCCGAAGUAAUGAUUAAGAGGGACAGUUGGGGGCAUUCGUAUUUAAUUGUCAGAGGUGAAAUUCUCGGAUUUAUGAAAGACGAACAACUGCGAAAGCAUUUGCCAAGGAUGUUUUCAUUAA